AAUCAACGCUGGCGGCAUGCCUAACACAUGCAAGUCGAACGGGAAAGUGGGAGCAAUCCCAUGAGUAUAGUGGCGCACGGGUGAGUAACACGUGGGCAACCUGCCCCUAGCACUGGGAUAACUCCGGGAAACCGGGGCUAAUACCGGAUAUGACCUUUGAGGGCAUCCUCUUUGGUGUAAAGGAUUCUGGCUAGGGAUGGGCCCGCGGCCUAUCAGCUUGUUGGUGGGGUAACGGCCUACCAAGACGACGACGGGUAGCCGGCCUGAGAGGGCGACCGGCCACACUGGGACUGAGACACGGCCCAGACUCCUACGGGAGGCAGCAGUGGGGAAUAUUGCACAAUGGGCGAAAGCCUGAUGCAGCGACGCCGCGUGAGGGAUGACUGCCUUC
rnacentral:rRNA from 1 species